AUGUUAGGGCCCUAAACUAGAUUUCAUCUACCGUUGACAUGAUGCAUCAGUCAAGGUGAUGUGUUUAGGCAUUAGUGCCUAAGUAAACUUAAAUUAAACUUUUAUUACUUUCUUCGUUUCUGAAGGAAAGAAUAGAAAAAGUAAUUAAACUUUACUAGACACUUUUUCACAGUGUUUUUGAACGACUCAGAAGUGGCUGCGUACUGAGCGUUAGCAGGUUACCGUGGGUUACACUCGACGGCGUUUGUUCCACCCCUGCGCUCUGUCAACCACAACUGUCACGGGAAUGUCAGUCAAAAAAUAAAAACAUUCCACAAAGCUAGACGGCAUGAACGGCGAUUUGGUUUUUAUUCGAAAUCAACGACUUCAUUCAACGAUCCAAGCAAGCUGGGAGAUGUUGCCGUUGGUUCUCAGGUGAAUUUUGAUUAGAGUGAUGACAGUGAAAAAAGUUAAAGUGAAUAGAAUAAUUGUUUCUAGUUGUUUGUAAGUUACAAGAUUGUUGAUGAUAGUGAAAUAAAUUAGUUAUGGUGUU